ensembl:lncRNA
AGUUCAAACCCCGCCCUCAUCAAAGUGAAAUGAUGGUAGGACGUCAGGAAAGUUCAGAAAGCGCCACAGCUGGUGAUACACAAGAACCACAACAUAUAGGAUGCAGCAUGAUUGCAGACAUGGUGAACUCCAGCUGUGGAACUGAACCACAUUUCAACAGGGUUAAAGAGCCUGAAUGUGAAACGGUACAAUUAAAAGAAUCAGACAAAGAGGUAUACAUCAGUGCAGCUGAGCAAGAAGCUGUUUCAGCUCCUGUUGUGAUCCUCUCUGACGUGACACGAGGCGAUGCAUGAAACAAGACAAUGUAACCAAAAUGGAGACUGAAGAACAUAGUGCUGAUAUCAAAAAUGAGCCCCAGGACCAGCCAGAUUUGGAAGAGCCUGCGAUUAAACUCCUUGGGGAAUUGGGCGAGGUGGAGAAUGCGACCAAGACAACCUCUAGUCCUGAACCACAGACAUCUCACAAAGACCAAUGCUCCCCAAACCCUUGCCAUGAAAGGUCAUUGGACGUGGAUGGAGAUGGUGUGCUUUUUCAAGAAAUAGAAGAGACUAAGAUGGAUCAGAAGGCUGGAGAUCAUGAUCCUGAAAUUUUAUCAGGUGCAGUACUAGAGCAUUUAGUAGAAACGUAUUUUAAUAGUGAGAUGCAGUUGCAGGCUACUGAAGGGACGGAAAUUUUGGAGCCUCCAGCAAAGAAAAGAUUAAGAAGAAGAAUGGGUAUGUGUGGCCUAGGAGACAGGAAGAGGAGAUUCCCCUUUGAUGGACAGCACUGUAGGCAGGGUCUUAUAGGAAGAGAGAGGGAAGAAGGACCUCUUAAGGGAAAUAAAUGUGCACAGCACCUGCAUGACCCGCUGUUGGAGAAUGAUGGUACCACACCAAUGAACAUGAAGGAACUACCAGACCCGCAUGUCAAGAAAAUGAAGAGGUUUUGAAAAACAAGGAGAACAAUAGUGCUGCAGUGAUUGAUGAUAAAAGAACACCAGGAGAAGCAGAAAAAGAACAAAAAAAAAACAUGAAUAAGUGCACUGCAUUGAUGAGAGACGGUGAUACCACAGAUGAAUCCCCUACAGAAAAUAGAGAUGUUCUGGAAAAAGUCAUAUUGGAGGAAAAUGAUGGUAUUGUAAUCAUGGAUAACAAAGGAACUACUGAACAAGUGGUUUCAGAGCAUCACCUUAAACUGUUAGAAGAUAUAUCACCAGGGGUUGGACAAACACUGUUAAGUCCUACCAUUGGGAAAAACUUGAACAUGAGCCAAGAUGAACGGUCAGUAGCUGCUGCUACCAGUGACCAUGAAAUAGAAACUGCUACCUGUGGUGAAGAACCAAAUGUCCCUGGGACCGACAUGACCAACAAUAGACAAGAUAUCGAAUUUAACAUGAAACACGACGUUCUGCCAGAGACACAGCAUCUUCAUGCUGAUUAUAAAGUGGGCGAGGACCCCGAUGAGAUUGCGAUGGAAGAUGAAGUUGCUCAGGAAGUGAUCUGUAGCUCAGUUUGUGCUACGGUUGAAAAGUCUGAAGGUUGUUUCAUAGUCACUAGACAGGUCCGAGAGGUUCCAACUGGUCUGGAAGAAAGUGAAAUGGAGAUUGAAGAGUGGUGUCCAUCCAAUAUGGCUCCCACUGAGAAACAUGACCCGAACGGACCUGAACUGGGCGGGUCCACUGAAAAAGGAUUGGACGCCAGAUUUGUCGACAGCACGGGUAUUGCUUCCAUUGAAAUACAUCAUGUGAAAGGUCACUGUGAAAACGACAAGCCCAUAACAGCUGUAUCAGGGAGUACAGAGCCUGCUGGAGGAGAUGCCAUCAAUGCUAAGCAGAACAGUGAACCUCUAGCACCACCUACUGUCCAGGAGAAGUGCAUGCAGUGUCUUUUAGACCAGAAUCACUGCGACACUUCUGUGACCUCUACUGUUGCUGAGCAGCAGGUCUGUAACCCCACCCUGACCCCUGCUCCUAGUGAGGCAUCUCAGGAGACUGGCUUAUCCGUUCCAUCGUCGCUUUACUCUAUGACGGACUCCCAACUCCAUAAAAUUGCAUUAAGCAUGGAGCUGGAGGACCAGCCUAUCCCAGAAGGCUGUGAUCACCAGGAGGAUGCCACAGAGCUUGUGCGUGGCCUCAUCAGAGAACUCUCCUCUAUAAAUCGUACCGUGAUGGCGGCACACCGUGAGAUGGAACUCUUGCGCCGUGGAAAACUUCUAAAGGCUCCGAAUCGUCGCCUUUGUGGUCCUCGCCAUACCGAGAUGUAACCACAUGAUGGAGAUAUGAUGCGGAUAAUAGUCUCAUCCUUCUAUAAAAUUAUUAUUUGGCAGUAGGGCCUAUAAUGCUUGUUUAUACAAAUCUUUGUUGAGGUGUAUAUAUAAAGAGGUAAGGAGUAAAUGGUGUAACUUUGAUUUUGUGUUCGAGACUGGAUCUGUCUAGGUUAGAGGAGUUCUACAGGUUUACUUGUUUGUCCAUAAAGUUUGAUCUGUUUUUAUUUUUAUACAGAAUGCAUUACUAGAGUGUCAGAAUGAGCCUCAGCAGUUUCUCAAGGCAGCUAGCCAUGUCUCACAUUCCGUCUUUUCGCUUUUCAGAAACUGAUUGAUACGAGUACUUAAGUAGAUUAAUGUGUAGACUUGCUUUUUUAUGUCACUUUGAAGUGGGAGCUCCUUUUUAAUGCGCUCACCACCAUAAUUGUUUUGUUUACAAGUCCUUGAGUUGGUGAAAAAUGUUUGUUUUAUUGUUGUAACUCCAAGACCAGUUGAUAAUUCGGUCAUCUACACUGGUGGGGUGUUUUUUUUUUUUAAAAAAAACUGGACCAUUUGUGCAGAAUGAACUGCUUCAAACCAGCCCACUUCUGUACCAGUAAACAACGUAAAGAUGAAUGUUGAAAGUGGUCUCUUUGUUUUCCUUCAUGUAAUAGGUCUGGCCUACAUAUACGCUCUUAAAAAUAAAAAAAGGUUCC